CACCACUUUCAAUAUUGGUUCAUGUGUUCUUGGUUGAUGACCAGAAUAAUUUUCCUAUUCACAUUUUCCAUUGCCAAUCUCACCACCUAUGGCUUCUUAGAGAGUUUCUUCUCAAGCCUAGAGACUAUUCCAUCUUUCCUCUCAGCAAAAAAAAGAAAGAAAAAAAAAACUAUUUCUAUCUUUUCUUUUGUUAAAUUAUUUCUGGUAUGCAAGCUAUGAGGUAUUGGGGUAUGCUAUUUCCAUCUUUGCUCUCGUUUGUAUUGCUUUUGACUUCCAAUUGUUUGCUACUCCGUCAUGGUAGAAUCUAAAUUUGUUUUCAAGUAUUUUUAUUGUUACUAUUUAUAUUCAAGUAGUCUAAAUGUCUGGUUCGAUUAAAGUUGUCUCUUUUUGACAGUUGUUGCACUAGUGUUGCAUGGGUGCUUGGAGGCGAUGGUGCUUUUGUUAUAGCUCAUUAGGAUGGAAAUUUGUAUGUGUAUGAUAUGGCAAGCCUUGGACUUUCAUGAUUCAAUGUGUUGUAGAUAUUGAGAUAAGCAUGAUUUAAUGAAAUUUUGUUUUGUACAAAGUAAUAGAGGAGAACAUUCUGACAAGAGAGAACCAAGAUUGGAAGAGGAAGGAUAAAUUAUUGUUGCACGAGUUUGAAACUCGGAAAAAGAAGAUAAAGCAAGAGAGACAAAUGUUCACAUGGUUGAGGUCGGACUUGAAAAGCGAAGGGUUGUGUACACGAAUAUGGUUGUUUUUGUAUUGGGUUGUAUCUAUUGUAAUUUUUCUAGUUGGUUUGGAUCAAAUAUGUAAAUAGCUGGAAGCAUAGUGUCAAAAUCAAGUAUGUAAUUUCUCUGGUUGGUUUGGAUCAACAGACGGAAGCAUCAUGUCAAAAUCACUUUAACAUUUGUAUUGAAAAAGCCUUUGGUCUUGA